ensembl:lncRNA
CUCCCUGUUUUGUCUCAUGCUUCAUUUGACUUAACCCAGCCUGGGUCUGGUGGACCUGGUGGCUCAACAGGGCUCCAAGGGGUGGUCAUGGAGAAGCAGCCUGACGUUGGAGAAGCACCAACAGGGUUCCUCAGCAGCCAUGCCCAAUUUGAGCAGUCCUGACAUCCUGGUUUCAGGUAGGAAAGGCAGCUCUGGGGCUUUAGUUCUGAGUUCAGUUGUACUGAACUUCUGCUAACCAUCAUAAUUAGGGUUACAGACCGUUGCCAGAGACGUGUGCAAAGAACCCAGUAAAAUCCAAGCGUGUCAGGCUUGGAAUCCUGUCUUGGAGCAUUUCAGGAAGAAAAAAAAAAUGCAUUGAAUGGAAUGAAAUGGUAGAAAAGGAGAAAAAAAACAGAUGUUGCUUUUAUGCAUGAGCUCUCCACACACUGGGAGCAAUCAGCAAAGUACCGAUGACAAGAUGGACCUGUGUGGGGAGAUGCCUUUGGAAACGAGAAGUUCAGCCACCUCUGAUUGUCUUUGUUUGGUCCACUGCCUUGGAGCAGUGCAAAAGAGCAGCAGAGCUCAUAGCCUUGAAGAUCUUGAAUGUCAGCCUGGACACCAAGGUUAUGCUCAGUUCUUUCCAAAGUCUCCACAGGAUCAUAAUCCCUUUCCCUUCUUUCUAUGGAGAGUGCUGGAAACCACUUAUAAAAGCAUGUGCUGAAUGUGUGUGAUCAGACCAGAGCUUUCCAAGUGAACUGCGCGCUGGCAACGGAAUCCAGGUUGAGAGCAAUGGGAAUUGCUCUGCUCCAUUUAGUAAGAGUACAAGAGCACAGCAUCAGUAGUGCAAACAGCUCCACGUCCCGCUGCCAGGAAUAUCUGCAGGCAAAGGAAAGAAAGGAGAGGCUCACAAGACUGCAGGAGUGCACUCGUGCCCCAUGGCACGGCGAUAUCUGGUUCAAUCCAUUGAAACGAUCCCUUGUGAGUUAAGAAGGGCAGUACUGCAGGUUGACCCUCUGCUUCUCCUCAGGAUCUUGCUCUCUCUGUCUCAAAGUCCUCCCAGAGGGACCCUGAGAGCCCCACACGGUGCAGAACAGCAUGAGUGAGAGGUUCCCCAGCAGCCGGCAGAUAAGACAAACACGGUUGAAUGGAACAAGCCUUGACACUGCACUGAAAUAAUGAGGGAGCUCUUCAACAGAACGCCACAAUACGUGUGGGCAAGUUGUUGCAGUUGGAACAGUACGAGCUUGUCAGGUCACAGCAAAACAGUUCUUACUGAAAGAAUGGCUAUGAGGAAGAGCAGCAGAAAGCAUUCUGCUGUGCAAACAUGCAGCUGAGCAAAACCUCCGGAAAAUCAGGAUGCGUGCAACAUCAAACUAUUUCCUACGCAAAGCUUGAUGGCAAUAGGGUUCCCCACAAAGAAUUAAACCUUUUCCUGCUAUGGGAAAAAAUGUGAAUUGAGUCCCAGAUAUCAGCAGAUCCAGGUGCAUGAAAUGGAGAGAGGAUGAACUGCGCGGCGCAGAGCAAGGAAAGCUCCUGAAGUUGAUCAAAACCAAUGGUGGCUUCUGCAGCAGCCAUGCACGCAGCAUACAAAAAUCUGUGCCUACAAAAUGUAUAUCCAAAUCUGUUUCUUGAUUUAUUUGCUGCAGACUGUAGACCUGAAGCAUGCAAGCAAAAAGGUCACAGGAUGACUUUUGUUAAAAUACUCAUGGUUACAGCAAAUUUAGGCAGCCAUAUACUGAGUUACAUUGCAUAUAUGGGUGAGCUUCUCGUGGGACCACAGCAAGAAAUACUGCCCAUUUAACCUAGGUGCAUCUCUAAUAGUAUUAACUUACUAAAAUGAAGGAAAGGAGGGUGUGGAAGGAGGUCUUCACACUCAGUGUGUGUUGGAUUGCCUGUGUGCACAGCAUGGGCAACCCAUUUCACAAAGCAUACAGCAGCAUGAUUCACUUUGCCAACAUAACUCCCAAACUGUGGAAUUUCAAG